AGAACACUGGAGUGGGUUGCCAUUUCCUUCCCCAAUGCAUGAGAGUGAAAAGUGAAAGUGAAGCCACUCAGUCGUGUCCGACUCUUAGCUGUUUUUCAGCAGCCAAUUAAAAAGUUUUUAACAGGAGAAAAACAAAUUUUAACAACAUUUAUUCAUGGAAGAGACCCAGGGAAACUGAAUAACUCUCCAAAAUGAAGCGUUCACCUUUCACUUGCUCACCGGGUGCUGCGUGCCGAGGCCCCUGCAUUCUGGCACUUCAGACUGGAGCGCCGAGUGAGAAAUGGCUGUGCUGACACCUCAGCGCCGUGGAGCCUCGGGCGCAGAAGCACGGCUGCUGACUCUCCAUCCCAAGAUGGCGGCGGCGGGCUGCGUGCGCAGCCGCCUCACGUGGCGGGGCUCUCAGAGCUGGAGCAGCACACCUGUGCCUGUAGCCCUGCUAGGCCAUCAGCAGAACUCCGCCUCCACCCGACCGCAGAGACCCGUAUACAGUAGCCCACCCACAGACUGGCCGUACAGCGUGCACGGCAGAGUUUGAUUUCGUACCUCUCCAUUCUUGGAUGAAAAAUUUUAAACUUUCUUUUGCUUCUCAACAGAAUGUAGUCUCCUUGGGCCCACAAAACCAGCGUCCAGCAGGAGAACCCCUGUU